AUGGCGCGGCCGACCAAGAAGGCCAAGAAGCCAGAGUUCCUCGGCGAGCCCAUCCCCGCCGACGAAACAUGCGCCAACUGGCCGCAGCGUUACCAGUGUGCCUCGCCCAUGAGGAUAACUGUACCAUACCCAUUCCAGUGGGGAGCACUGACUUUUCAUGCUGCUGAAUCCUUUGCCAUGAUGGCAGCUGCUUUUGUUGCUCUUGUGGAGCGCUACGGCUAUGAAGAUGACGUGUUGAAGAAGCACCAUCGGCUUCAGUGUCACCAUCCUCCUCGGCAUGCAGAAGACACUCCCAAGUCGUCUCUGUACUGCAUCCAGGAUGGCGAGGUUGAGCGUUUGAAAGUAGAAAGUCCAGAUCCACAGCGGCAUCAGAGCUUCGUCGUCGACCUCAUCUGCGAUCGUCCUCGAGGUCGCCCAUGGCGGUCUGGUCCGGCCCGGCAGCAGCCAUGGACGGAGACGCCUGAAACCCUAGCCCUCCAAGGAUGCGCGCCGGCUGCAGGCCAUCUUCGGCGAGCUCAUCCACAGAUCUUCGUCUAUGGUGCGUGUGCAUGA
rnacentral:rRNA from 1 species